rnacentral:rRNA from 1 species
AGGAUGAACGCUAGCGGCAGGCUUAAUACAUGCAAGUCGUGGGCAGCAUGAGUAGCAAUACUUGAUGGCGACCGGCAAACGGGUGAGGAACACGUACACAACCUUCCUUCAAGCGGGGAAUAGCCCAGAGAAAUUUGGAUUAAUACCCCAUAAUAUAUUUGAUAAGGCAUCUUAUUAAUAUUAAAGCUUCGGCACUUGAUGAUGGGUGUGCGGCUGAUUAGAUAGUUGGCGGGGUAACGGCCCACCAAGUCUACGAUCAGUAGCUGAUGUGAGAGCAUGAUCAGCCACACGGGCACUGAGACACGGGCCCGACUCCUACGGGAGGCAGCAGUAAGGAAUAUUGGACAAUGGACGAAAGUCUGAUCCAGCCAUGCCCGCGUGAAGGAUUAAGGUCCUCUGGAUUGUAAACUUCUUUUAUAUGGGACGAAAAAGGGCAUUCUUGUUCACUUGACGGUACCAUAUGAAUAAGCACCGGCUAACUCCGUG